ensembl:lncRNA
GUUGGCCAUGUUUAAAAAAGGGAUUACUGGAAAAGACAGUGAAAUGAUGACAGGAAAACAUCUUGGACCAGAGCCAAAAAAAAAAAAAAAAAAAAAUCGAGGCAAAUCAAGUCCGCAGCUUGGAGAAAACACCCAUCGCUCCUGUCAGAAGCUCCCACAGGAACUGCCUGGUGCUCCUCAGCCAAAAGUGGAAUAUUGUGUGGGCACCAGGGGUCAGGACCAGGGUCCACCAGAGUAGCCAGAGGAAGGAACCAUGGUAUGCCAGAUGACACGGUUAUGUCACACUUUGAGAAAACAAAACAAAACAUUAAAAACCAACCUUUCCUUUCCUUUUAACUGGAGCUCCUGCUUGCUCAAAACAGCUUCUGUCUAUUCAAAGCAACCCCUAAAUGUACCUUCUGAUAACAGGAGCUGCUGAUUUUGUUUGUCUCCAGGAAACUGCUGCAAUGCUACAGAAAAAUGCUAGGAAAAGGAGGCUGAGGAAAUUCAGUUUUCUGAUGUCUGGGCGCUAGGCAAACUGUGCCAGGUGACUGUCUUUGCUAUUUGGACCGCCAUGUGGGAGCGAGUUUGGGAUUCCUUUUCCCUCGUCACCCAGCUGUGGCUUGGUCUCUCUAUUCCUUGAGACACAACAUAUUGAAAUUAGACCAAUUAAUAACCCUACAAUAGACCCUAAGUGUUGAAGAAAAAAAGUC